CCUACGGGAGGCAGCAGUAGGGAAUAUUGCACAAUGGGGCGAAAGCCUGAUGCAGCAACGCCGCGUGCGCGAUGAAGACCUUCGGGUUGUAAAGCGCUUUUAUGAAGGACGAGGAAGGACGGUACUUCAAGAAUAAGGAUCGGCUAACUACGUGCCAGCAGCCGCGGUAAUACGUAGGAUCCGAGCGUUAUCCGAAUUUACUGGGCGUAAAGCGCGUGCAGGCGGUUUGAUAAGUUGGAUGUGAAAGCUCCCGGCUCAACUGGGAGAGGCCGUUCAAAACUAUCAGACUAGAGGACGGUAGAGGGAGGUAGAAUUCCCGGUGUAGUAGUGAAAUGCGUAGAUAUCGGGAGGAAUACCAGUGGCGAAGGCGGCCUCCUGGACCGUUCCUGACGCUCAGACGCGAAAGCUAGGGGAGCGAACGGGAUUAGAAACCCCGGUAGUCCUAGCUGUAAACGAUGCAAACUUGGUGUUGGUGGGGUAAAAUCCGCCGGUGCCGAAGCUAACGCGAUAAGUUUGCCGCCUGGGGACUACGGCCGCAAGGUUAAAACUCAAAGGAAUUGACGG
rnacentral:rRNA from 1 species